ACUCAAAUGAAUAGACGGGGACCCGCACAAGCAGCGGAGCAUGUUGCUUAAUUCGAUGCAACGCGAAGAACCUCACCUGGGUUCAACUACGCAGGAAAAGCUAUGGAGACAUAGUGUCCUUCGGGGCUUGCGAUAGGUGGUGCAUGGCUGUCGUCAGCUCGUGUCGUGAGAUGUUGGGUUAAGUCCCGCAACGAGCGCAACCCUUUUCUUAUGUUGCUAACAGGUAAAGCUGAGGACUCGUAAGAGACUGCCGUGGUCAACACGGAGGAAGGUGGGGAUGAUGUCAAGUCAUCAUGCCCCUUACGCCCAGGGCUGCAAACAUGCUACAAUGGAUGGUACAAAGAGCUGCUAACUCGCGAGAGUACGCUAAUCUCAAAAAACCAUUCUCAGUUCGGAUUGGAGUCUGCAACUCGACUCCAUGAAGCUGGAGUUGCUAGUAAUCCCAGAUCAGCAUUGCUGGGGUGAAUACGUUCCCGGGUCUUGUACACACCGCCCGU
rnacentral:rRNA from 1 species